rnacentral:rRNA from 1 species
UACGUAGGGUGCGAGCGUUGCCCGGAUUUAUUGGGCGUAAAGGGCGCGUAGGCGGUCACGCACGUCCGUUGUGAAAUCGCUCGGCUCAACUGGGCGGGGUCAGCGGAUACGGUGUGACUGGAGCAAGCUAGGGGGCAAUGGAAUUCCCGGUGUAGUGGUGGAAUGCGUAGAUAUCGGGAGGAACACCAGUGGCGAAGGCGGUUGCCUGGAGCUUUGCUGACGCUGAUGCGCGAGAGCGUGGGGAGCGAUCCGG